UGGAAAGUUCAUUGUUCGACACCAUGGAUCUCCAGGUGGGUCACGUUUAGAUAUACACCAACCUGGAGGACUCCAUGCUGUUGAGCUGUUCACAA
rnacentral:pre_miRNA from 1 species